GGUUAGUCAAGUUUCCCGAGAGACUCUCUCGAGUUUCAACUAACUCCGUUAAGCUUACGGGUGCUUAACAAACCGUUACAAACUGAGAACACAAGUCUCCACGAUGCUUGCUCGAAGAUACCGCACUUUAAGACUUCACGUGAAGGAACUAACAUUUCCUUCUUACAACAACAGGGAUUAGAACUUCCCUUCAAGUGUAUACAAACACUUAGCACUCAAGAAAGACUCAAUUACGGAGUAGAUAUGAGUAAAAUUAAUACGCUCAAGAACACAACAACUUCGUCAAGAAUUUGGCUCUCAAAA
rnacentral:lncRNA from 1 species